rnacentral:rRNA from 1 species
AACGAACGCUGGCGGCAUGCCUAACACAUGCAAGUCGAACGAAACCAUCGGGUCCAGUGGCGCACGGGUGCGUAACGCGUGGGAACCUGCCCUUAGGGUCGGAAUACCUCCACGACAGGGGUGAUAAUAGCGGAUAAUGUCUUCGGACCAAAGAUUUAUCGCCUUUGGUUGGGCCCGCGUGGGAUACGCUAGUUGGUAGGGUAAAAGCCUCCCAAGGCGACGAUCAAUAACUGGGCAGAGAGGAUGAUCAGCCACACUGGGACUGAGACACGGCCCAGACUCCUACGGGAGGCAGCAGUGGGUAAUAGUGGACAAUGGGCGAAAGGCUGAUCCAGCAAGGCCGCGUGAGUGAUGAAGGCCUUAGAGUUGUAAAGCUCUAUUACCCGGGAUGAUAAUGACAGUACCGGGAGAAUAAGCUCCGGCUAACUCCGUG